AUAGUCACACUUGAACAGCCUUCAUAAACACUUCCUGUAAAGUGUCAUCUAAUGUUUAUCCUUCCUUUAUGCUAUGUUAAUAGCUUGCUAGACCCUGUAAGAGCCUCCUGUAUGUGAUUAAAGUUCAAUUUACAGAGCAAUAGAUAAAAUUGUUUAAACCCUUAAGGACUGAGCCAAAUGUACACGUUGUGAACAAAACGUAAACAAAACCUGGCAUUUGCGCUACAUGUCUGUCC